UAGAAUCAUAAACAUGGAAUAAAUUGAUAAUCAACAUAAAUCCUUCAAAACCCACAAACAUUCAUUGGUUUUCAGCCAAAGUCAACCAAAUAAGAGUAUUAGCCACUCAUGGCAACAAAGUAACAAGAACAAUAAUCUAAUUGCAUAAAGAAACUACCUAAGAUUUGGAAAGAUGAAAGGAAAUGAUUUCUAGCUCCCAAAAUCGCCUCUUGCAGGUCUCCAAUGGUGGAAAAACGUGAAUGAGCCUCUAGAUCUGAUCCCCAAGGGUUAUGGUGAGCCAAAUGACCAAAAUGCCCAAACUGGGCAGUUGCGCGGGUACCCGCGCGACGAAAAUUCCACCCGCGCAAAUGUUGCUAUAAUGCUAUUGGUCCACCAAGCCACUCCACCCUUCCACUACCAAAGAUUCCUUUGGUCCCCCCUCCCUUGUCCAUGUAAUUUGAAAUGCACCAAUCAUCAUUUAGCCACCAAAUGGAUGCUCCAAGCCCAAAAUUAGAAUUUUAUGAUCCAUCUUCACAAGCCCAAAUAAUCCAAGCCAAUAACUUUCAAAGCCCAAUUCUUCUUCUUUGAUUCCGCCAAGCCCAAUAAUGCCUCGGGAGCCCACUAAGCCCGUCUCCAAUCAACCCGCAACCGCAACAAGCACCGAAAAACCUACAAAAUAUCUCAUGCAACAUAACAAGCACCCGGUAUGAUCCAUACUAAAGAAAAAUAAAUAAAUUACAAUGCAUUAAUGAUAAAAAGAUCUAAAAAUCUAAAAUAAACUAAUAAAAAUAAGGAAAUAAAAUAAGCUAUCAAAUCACCCCAAGCUUAAACCUAACUUGUCCUCAAGUUAGAACAAGACUAAAAAUGAGCUCGGGAUGAACUAUCUAAAAAGGAAAAAGAAAGAUACCAUAGAACUUGGUCAACAUCAGUCAACAUGGUCAGAAUUAGUCCUUCAAUGGACCCUACGCAUCUUCAAAAUGUUCCCCGCUUUAGAACCAUAAACCACAUUCUUAACCACUUGAUGGGCGAAUAGAUCACGGCUGGAUGCGGUCGCGGUGUGCAAGACAAAGGAAACAGAGAUGCGCCCAGUGGGGGCACUUUAAAUCACCAAUGUAGACCAUAGUGCACGAAGGAAAGGCGCCUCUUCACACACUAUGAUUCCUACAUUUGUCAGGCCAAAGUGUAUAAUAACGAAAUAGGGUUUUGCAGCACGGCCUCCGGGCAAACAUCCGGUUUCAGAGGCUUCUCCCUUGUACUGUCCUUUACAGUCUACCGUCUCAUCGUCGGGGCCUUUUCUCACCAAAAAUCAAAAAUAAAAUAAAAUAAAAUAAAAAAAACUCUACUUAACCUAAAUCUAAACCUAACAACCUAAAUCUUCAAUCUUGAACUUCUGUUAUUGGGUCUUCAAUCACAUUUGCUGCUUGACACUUUUUUUAACUAGAUAUAUAACAUAAGUCUUGAACUUGGAACCUUGUUCUUCUUUUUGUGUUGCUCUUUUUCUUCAUUUUUCUUCUUUGUUUUUGUUGCUUUUCUUGAAUCAUCUUUAAUAGGCUCUUAUUUUCUUCACUUUUUCAAAUUUCUUCAUUCUUUGUGUUGCUUCUUGGAAGGUCUAAGGAAUUUCACCAAGUAACAUAGGACUCCAAUAGUGAAAAUUGAGUGAUAGAUAGAGGCUAAUAUGAACACCUAAUGAUCAUUGACAAUGUGCCAAGAUCAACUAAAAAGGGUGGGGAAUGACUCAAAAAUGGGUGUUACCGAAAAGACUUGGUCCCAAAAGAUGUGAAUUGGGGGACCCACUUCAAAGUUCAUCAAGCACCUCAAUGCAAGGUGUGAUAAACAAAAUCUAUCUAACUAUCUACUCUAGACCCCUAGAAAAAUGAUAACCUAUCCUAAAAAGGCGGUGAGAAUCUAACUAAGCAAGGCUCGGACGAGACUCGGGAGUACUAAGGGGUACUCCCUCCAAAACCAAGAUGCGAGUCUUCAAUAUCUUCAAUGUCUUCAAAAUACCUUACCGGGCUAGUCUUUGCUCGCACACAUUGGCAUGACCAACCACAUCCCUCCGCACCUAGACCCAAUCAAGCUACCUGCAUCUGACCCCCACACAAGCGGUCUCAAAGUGGUCUGUGAGGCUCAAAACGUGUCCCAUUUAUCAAAUACAAGGAAUUCCAUAUCAAGACCCGGGACCAAUCUAUGAUUCAAUACUUAUGACUCGGCGCUAUGGUACCUGUAGGGAUGAGAAGACAAGAGAGAACAAAAAUGCAUGAACCUAACCUAGAAUGCAUCUAAAAAGUAUGAAAAUUAGAAAAGAAAGAAACAAAAUAUGCAAUAUUUUUUUUUGAAUUUUUUUUUGCAUUUUUUAUGAAUGCCCUAAAUGACUAACUCUAAAUGCAACUAUAUACAACCUAAAUGCAAUAAAAAUAAAAGAUUAGAUUACCUCACCCCAAGCUUAAAAUUAAGCAUUGUCCUCAAUGCUUAGGAUGAGAGUAAGGAAGGAUCAUACCGGGAUCAAGGUGGAGGAGGCCCGCGAGGACGGUAUGGAAGCAACACAUGGGUCGCAUAAUGAUGCUUGGAUGGAGUUCUUGGCCGCCUAAAUACACAUGGAUGAAAGCUUGGUCGCGCAAAGGACGCAUAUGAAAUGGCUCGAAAUUUUCUUAUGAAAUGACAUAUUUGCGCGGGUACCCUCGCAAACUUUGCGCGGGUGGGGGGCAGCCGCACGCACAUGUCAGAAUACAUCCCAUGUUGGGGUAAUUUGGAACUCGGAAUCUGCGCGGCUGGGGGUCGGUCGCGCAACGGCUGCGCGGGCACCCGCGCGCAACAAUCAGAGAGCACCCCAUGUUGGUGUAAUUUGGAACUCGGGACCUGCGCGGCUGGGGUCGGUCGCGCAAAGUCUGCGCGGGCACCCGCGCAAAAGUCAAAUUUUUGGAAUUUUUCAAACUUCACCAAAAUCACUAGAAGACUUCUAUAUGCUUAUUUUUAGGCCAACUUCAAGUUUAGAAACACCCAAAACUUCAAGCGGAGAUUAUUUAUUCACAAUGCAUUUAUUUAACGUCUUUGCCAAGACAUAGCCCCGCUUCCGUCAACCUUCGUAAAUCGGUGUUUCCAUUGUUACGUUGUCGAAUUCUCCCGUGUCAAAGCCUUCAUAAAAUAGUUUCAAAUGGUGCCCAUUCACUUUGAAGAUUUGGUUUGUUUCCAAACUCUUGAUUUCAACCACACUAGGAUCAAACACUUUUAUAACAAUAAAAGGUCCAUGCCAUCGAGAUCGCAAUUUUCCCGGGAAUAGCUUUAAGCGUGAAUGAUAAAGAAGAACUUUUUGACCCGGAAUAAAGUGUUUUUGGGUUAUGUGCUUGUCAUGAAAUGCCUUUUUCUUCUCUUUGCACCUUUUGAACCUUUUAAUUAUCUUCUUCUUGACCACUUCCAUCAUUGGAGGAUCCAAUCUUCUUUGAGGUUCCCUCUUAGGAUUACAAUCAUCUUCCAUGAUUAUCUUGUCUGUGCAUACAUUAGGGCUUAUCCUAUUUAUUGGCUCAAUCACAUCAACCCGAUACAAUGGAGAAAUGUUACUAGGGUACCUCAUUCCUUCAAAGAUGUUGAAGUGAAUGGUUUCUCCAUCAAACUCCAUAGUUAUCUUUCCUUUAUGGACAUCAAUGAUUGUGUGAGCGGUAUGCAUGAAAGGUCUUCCAAGGAGGAUCAUAGAUGAUUUGGAAGGAGUCUUCUCUUCAAGAUCAAUGACAUAAAAAUCCGCCGGAAAAACAAGUUGAUUAACUUGUACUAACACAUCCUCCAACACUCCUCUUGGAGACACACUUGACUUGUCUGCUAAUUGAAUGAUUACUCCAGUUUCUUCCAAAGGUCCAACAUUGAGAGAUUGAAAAACCGAAUAUGGCAUCACAUUGAUCGAGGCUCCAAGAUCUAACAUGGCACUUUCGACAUGCAAAUCACCAAUGGUACAAGGGAUAGAAAAUAUUCCCGGACCCUUGCAUUUGGGAGGUAACUUCUUUUGGAUAACUGCAGACACAUUUGCAUUGACUUGAAUCUUUUCAUUUGCCUUGAGUUUUCUCUUCUUGGUGCAUAAAUCCUUGAGGAAUUUUGCAUAACUUGGAAUUUGCUUAAUAGCAUUCAAUAGUGGAAUGUUGAUUUGGACCUUGCGAAAAGUUUCAAAUAAUUCAUUUUCUUCCUCUAUCUUCUUGGAAAAGGCUAACCGGGAAGGGAAGGGAGGUGGUAUGACCAAUGGUUUGAUGGGUUUGUUGGAAGAGUCGGGUUGAUCAACGUUUGGCACAACCGGUUCCUUUGGAGGAGCUACAACUUUUGAAGGUUCAACCAUGAUGACUUCAUCUUCUUCUUCUCUUGAAACUCUUUUAGGGUUGCUUUCUCCGAGUGUUUUCCCACUUCUUAAAGUUAUUGCACUCACAUUGGGGUUCUUCUCGGUUUGAGAUGGAAGUCUACCCCUUUGUUCUAUCUUGUUGAUAGCGGUGGCCAAGUCUCCGAUUUGUGCUUGAAUGUUUGAGAAAGUGUUCUUGGUCUCUUGUUGAAAUUGGGUUUGACUUUGAGCAAGAGAAGUAACAAGUUCUUGAAGGCUCAUUUGAUGGGUACCACUUGAUUGGCCUUGUUGUGGAGGUUGUUGGUAAUUUGGAGGGUUAUAAGAAGUUUGUGGAUAUGGAGGUUUUUGGGAUUGGUAUUGUGGAUGUUGGGGUCUCAUCAAAAGAUUUGGUGGAUUUUGCUUUGGUGGAUAAGGGUUGUUUUGGUUAUUCCUCCAAUUUGGGUUGAAAUUGUUUUGAAAUCCCAUGGGUCUUGGUUGACCUUGAUAUCCGCCCAUUGCAUUCACAUCUUCCGGUUCACUUCCAAGUGUGGGACACUUAUCCGUAUAAUGGCCCGUCAUUGCACAAAUACCACAUACCAUCAAUUGUUGACCACUUCCCACCACCAUUUGACUUAACACAUUAGUCAAAUCCAAGAGCUUUGAUUCCAAGUGUUGAGUGUUGCUAACUUCACCAACCACUUGUGUAGAAUUUCUCUUCAUGUCAUUUCGAGUCCCAAAAUUCCUUUGAUUUUGAGAAAUGGUACCAAAAAGUAAUCGGAUUUCGUGAGGGGUUUUGUUGAAGAUGUCACCACCACUUGAAGCAUCAAUCAUCCUCCGAUCUUUUUCAUUCAUACCCUCAUAAAAUUGUUGAAGAAGUAGUUGUUCGGGUAUAUUGUGUUGAGGACAACUUGUACACAAAUUGUUGAAGCGCUCCCAAAAAUCAUGAAAUGUUUCAUUUUCCCCUUGACGAAUCCCCAAAAUGUCACUUCUUUGACUUGAAAUGCGGGAGGUGGGAUAGAAUUUGCUAUUGAAGGCCUUGAGUAACUCUUCCCAUGUGUGAAUAGAUCCCGGUGGUAAGUUGAAUAACCACUCUCUAGCUUUGUCUUCCAAGGUGAGCGGGAAUGCGGUUAACUUGAAAUCAUCCAAUGUCACAUUGUCGGGCAACAUGCUAACACAUAUCAUAUGAAAGGACUUCAAAUGCUUUUGAGGAUCUUCUCUAUCCAACCCAUGGAAUUUGGUUAGUUGAUGGAUGAAACUUGACUUCAAUUCAAUCCCUCGGCGGUUUGCGGGAUAAACAAUAGCAAGAGGUGUAUGAGUAACAUCCGUUUCCAUCAUUUGUCUAAGUGUCAACUCUUGAGGGGGAUUGGGUGGAUUGGGGUUAUUGGGAUAUUGUUGCAAGUAAUUGGGUGGUUGAUGAUAAGGUGGAUAUGGGUAUUGUUGGGGAUUGUAGAUUGGUGGUGGAUAAGGUUGGUAGUUAGGGUAUUGGUUGUAAGGAGGUUGUUGUUGUGGGUACAUUGGGUUUUGGUACAUUGGAGGGUGUUGGUAAUUGGGUUGAUUUGGGUAAUGUACUUGUUGAACUUGAAAAGCAUUGUUUUGAGGUUGGUUGUUUUGGUGGAAGUGUUGGUUUUGUAGUUGUGGUGGUGGUUGAUAAUUGGGUUGGUUUUGAGGAGGGGCUUGAUUCCAAGGUGGCAUAUCAAUGAGAGGUUCUUGUGGUUGUUGUCUUGGUUGAUGGGGUGGGGUAUUGGCAUCUUGAUUGAUUGGGUUUGGGUUGGGAUUGUGAGGUGGAGUGUGAUUCAUGGCUAUGUGGUUUUCAAACGGAAUGUCUUCAAAGGAAUGACCAACAAUUGGAGAACUCGGUUCGGUGUCGGUAUCACUUGAAGUAUGAACUUGAUCUUCUAUGUUGAUUAGUGGAGAAGAGGAAGAAGCUUGAACUAGUUGUUGUUGCUUUGCUUGUUUGGCUAACUUUUUCAACCUUUUUGCUUCUCUUUCAAUUUCCGGAUUGUAGAGUAGUUCACCGGUUCUUGUAGACCUAGGCAUAAACAAUCAAAUAACAAUAACCAAUUUCCCCGGCAACGGCGCCAAAACUUGAUGGGAUGUCAAGCCCACCAAGCAAAUUACACCCUUUGAUUGCUAAAUAAACGUAAUAUAAUGGUAAAAAGGGGUAUCGAUCCUCGGGGAAAUGGUUGUAUUCAAUCACCAAUGCAAUUCAAUAGAACUAGUGAAAUUAAACUAAUUAACUACAAUUAAACUAAAAGGGGGGUUUUUUGAUUACUUGAAAACUAAAAUACUUGAAUAACUAAAAACCUUGCAAUUAAGCAAGUUGAUGAGAUGCUCAAAGGUUGGAAAUAAUUGGUUAACUAAGGCAAUUCAACACAAUGAACAUUUGUGUGUUUAUCAUUAGGAUCUAAUACAAAGCUUAUCCUUCAUCCCAAAUUGGUUAUAGCAAUCAUGAAGCAUGAUAUGCCAAGAUUCCUCAUAGGUAGUAUGGAGGUUGGGGAAGCCCACAACACACCUUCUUAAUUAAGAUCAAGGGUCAAUUGAAGCAAUUAAUCCCAAGAAAUCAAUUAGCCUUAAGAAUGAAGGAAUCCCCAAUUCCUAGAGGAUGUCAAAUGCUUACACAUCCAUAAAGGAGAUAUGAUUCAUAAGCUAGAGAUGAUUUCUACCAUCAUAAAGCCUUUGUUCUAGAUAAAUUCAAUGAUCCAAUGCAAAAUCAAUGAAAUAAAUCAACCAUUGCUCAAUCAAAUACUAAGCUCAUGAUCAAAGCAUCAAAUAAGCAUAAGAAUUGCAAACUAGAAUCAUAAACAUGGAAUAAAUUGAUAAUCAACAUAAAUCCUUCAAAACCCACAAACAUUCAUUGGUUUUCAGCCAAAGUCAACCAAAUAAGAGUAUUAGCCACUCAUGGCAACAAAGUAACAAGAACAAUAAUCUAAUUGCAUAAAGAAACUACCUAAGAUUUGGAAAGAUGAAAGGAAAUGGUUUCUAGCUCCCAAAAUCGCCUCUUGCAGGUCUCCAAUGGUGGAAAAACGUGAAUGAGCUUCUAGAUCUGAUCCCCAAGGGUUAUGGCAAGCCAAAUGACCAAAAUGCCCAAACUGGGCAGUUGCGCGG
rnacentral:lncRNA from 1 species